rnacentral:rRNA from 1 species
CCUACGGGUGGCUGCAGUAAGGAAUAUUGGACAAUGGCGGCAACACUGAUCCAGCCAUGCCGCGUGCAGGAUGACGGCCCUAUGGGUUGUAAACUGCUUUUGUACGGGAAAAAACCCUCGUUCGUGAACGAGGCUGAUGGUACCGUAAGAAUAAGGAUCGGCUAACUCCGUGCCAGCAGCCGCGGUAAUACGGAGGAUCCAAGCGUUAUCCGGAUUUAUUGGGUUUAAAGGGUGCGUAGGCGGAUUAAUAAGUCAGUGGUGAAAGCCUGCAGCUUAACUGUAGAAUUGCCAUUGAUACUGUUAGUCUUGAGUAUAUUUGAAGUGGGCGGAAUGUGCAGUGUAGCGGUGAAAUGCUUAGAUAUUGCACAGAACACCGAUUGCGAAGGCAGCUCACUAAACUAUAACUGACGCUGAGGCACGAAAGUGUGGGGAUCAAACAGGAUUAGAUACCCCAGUAGUC